UAAUCGCUUGGUUGCUCCAUCGCUGUUUUCGCCUUGCUCGGCGAUCCCUCCUGCCGCUGUAGCGCGGCCCAUCGUGCUGGAGCACAGCAUCGAUGUCGUCUCCUAAAGGCGACCAUGGCGGCCCUAACGGCCUUCAAUAACGGCGCACCAAGGUGACCGGGAGCCUCACCAACGCUGCAGAGGAGGUCCAUGUUGCCAUUGUCUGCCUGGGCGUCCGUUCUUCACAACAGCAAAACGACCAUGCAUCGCUGCUCCAGCCAACAUGCUACAUACGUGUUGUGCUUUUGCAUUUUCAUUCCGUAUAGAUUGUUUUUUUUACCGUGUCAAGCUUUGCCUCGUCUCCAUGCUUCCUAGGUGUAUGUAGUCAUCUUGUUUUUACUUAAUCAAUAACCAAUUCUUCAUUCCCAAUUUCACAUAUAUUAUGGACAACAAGCCUAUGUCCAUGCUACCACUAUACAAUCUGCUUCCAUAGGAUGUAAAAACAAUCUAAGCAUUUGUAUGUUGGUGACACAAAACAUCCAUCCCCUUGUUACCAAAAGUAUUAGUCUGCUUCAAUGUUCGUUGUUAUAUGCUUCCAUUUGAGCUCUUGUAUAUGGCGGAUGUUCUACUUAUUGUCAAGCAUCUUGCAACACGCUCUUUCCAUGCUUCUUACCUAUGGAGAUUUUAAAUUGUAACACACAUGCUUCUUGGGGGCUUCCAUAGGUAAACAAAAUUCAGUGAAAUUUGUAUGUUGUUGAGACCAAACAUGCAUCACAAUGUUUGCCAAAUCUUUGGUUAUUUUCAUUUUCAAUGUUCUAUAUUUCCAACUAAGAAAAAUCAUAUUUAUAUAGCAUAUUUUCUUGCUUCCUGCGAGCUUCCAAAUCAUACUUCAAACGCUUCUUCGGUUUAUGCAGAUUGCUUCUGUAUUUCCUGCUUCUUAUUUUAUAACUUUUGUGUUAUAUCCUCGCUAUCACAUGUGUCUUCAUUCCAGGUAGUUUGUUCACAUAGUUCCAACUUGUCAUUUAAAAAAACACAUUUGAGCACACGUAUGUAAACGUUGCCGUUGUGCUACAUUCAUGCUUCCACUGUGUAUCAUGAAUGUUUUGAUAGAUCAAAUCAUUGCUUCAUAUAAGCCAUGAUUUCUACCUUUAUAUUUUGCAUAUGCCUCUAUAGCAAUGAUUGUUUUUCUCUGUAUCAAUUCUCUAUGCUUGCACUACCUAUCAUGUGUGUUGUGAUAGAUCAAGCUAUUCCUUCUUGUAAGCUAUGCUUCCUAUUUUUAUGUUUUUAUAGUAAUGACUCUUUUUUCUUUAUCUCAAUAUUCUACUCCUCCAUUGCCUAGCAUCUAUAUAGUGAUAUAUCCAAAUGUGUCAUAUUUAUGUGUUUCUGUUAUACAAAUGUUUUGUGCCACACAAUUCCGAGCAUGCAUAAUUGGUUUUCCAAUCGCCUUGUAGUGCCCUCGCCCCAUGACGUCGACACUGCCGAUAUGAAGGCAACAUAGGUGGUGGAAGCAACAAAGGUCACUGAGAUCUCGGUCCUUAAUCGCGACGCUGCAGCCCAAGACAAUACCCAUGCUUCCCAGAUAUAUUAGGCCUCAUUUUUGUAUCAUAUUUUGUUGUAAUGUAAUUAAUGUGUUGUAUUAUAUUUUGGUUUCAUGGAAGCAGAUUCUCUAUUCUUUGGAAGCAAAUUUUCGUUUAUUGUGGAAACAAUGUAUAGCUAUAACAGAAACCAAUUUAUUUUUGUGGAAGCAAA